rnacentral:rRNA from 1 species
UACAGAGGCCCCGAGCGUUAGGCGGAAUCACUGGGCUUAAAGCGUGUGUAGGCGGACUUCUAAGUACCUUGUGAAAUCCCACGGCUCAACCGUGGAACUGCUUGGUAUACUGGUCGUCUUGAGCCAUCUAGGGGCGAGCGGAACAAGUGGUGGAGCGGUGAAAUGCGUAGAUAUCACUUGGAACGCCAACGGUGAAAACAGCUCGCUGGGGAUGUGCUGACGCUGAGACACGAAAGCCAGGGGAGCAAACGGG